rnacentral:lncRNA from 1 species
ACAGAUUCCAUUGCAGCUUACAUGUUAGAAAAUAAAGGCACACUAUUUAUCCAUGCCUUAAAGUUCACUUGGCUUUUGUGACAUCAGGUAAGGAAGCAGAGAGGAGGUUAGAGCACAAUAUCUUGCAGUAGUUCGUAUAUUCCUGCCUUAUACAAGAAAACAUCUGAAAGAGUCACUUCUUCACCCAGAUAGAGCCAUGUAGGUGAAUCCCGUUCUCCAGAAGAGAAGUUGGAUAUUAGAACAACAAAAAAAGUGAAGGAUGGCAAUUUACCUCCUCAGCCACUGCUCCACAAGAGGGUCAGGAGACUGCUUUAACUGAAGGAGAAGAGCCUAAAAUACAAGCAGAGCAGAAUGGGAAAAAAAAAUUGGUGGAAACUAUGGAUGCUGAUUUCAUGAAAACACUAAGAAUGGAUGGAUAGAAAUGCUGACUUGAUUUAGAAAAG